GAAACAUUAAAAAUAAAUAUAAUUAUGUUUAAAUAAACCAUUAAAAUUAUACAAAAUAAUCUCCACGGCAACUGUAGUGGAGAGAGAAAAAAUAGGAAUCAUUAAAUUAGACACAAAUAAUCUCCACGGCAACUGUAGUGGAGAGAGAAAAAAUCUAAAGACUUAGAAAAAUAGAUAUAAUUAUUUUAAUGAGAAUAGUUUUUUAAAUAAAUCAUUAAAUCAUAUAUAUCAAUCUCCACGGCAACUGUAGUGGAGAGGAAAAAAUAGGAAGGAAACAUAAUUAAAUGACUGGGCCUGUACCUGGAAUGUCCAGCAGGGGCCGCUCCACAGCAACUGCAGUGGAGAAAACAGUACAUGAAGAAGUGGCAAUUCACUGGGUUAGCCGCUACCCACAUGGAAAACGGGAAGCAAUGCUCCUGCACCUGGAAUCUCCAGCAGGAGUUGCUUCACUACAGCUGUGCGGCACCUUGUUUACCGCUUGGAUUUUGCAGUGCAGGAGCACUGUGGUUUUUGGUCCAGAUACGUAUUGUAUUUUGUUCCUGGGGUUUUGAAAAAUUUACAUUGUUCCCGCGGUUGGGAAAAUGUGAGUAGUUGUAUUUAUUUAAAGGUCCCCGAACCCUCGUUACUUCAGGCAGAAAAGGCCGAUAAUCACGCACCUCAGGGCUCCUAAACUAUGACCCGGGUCUGGGUCCACUGUCAGCCCGGAAAGACCGUAUAUCGGGUCUGGUCCAGUGGAACCGGGGCUCCCUCUCAAAAGACCUCAUCCAGAAUCGAGAUUCCUGUCUUUUAAGUUGAGUAUUAUAAUUAGGUCUAUGCUGAAACAUUUUUGAUUUUGAGGUACAAGUCUGUUGCAACGUUUCGGUUUUAUAAAAUAAACCUUAUUCAGGCACAGACUUGUACAAAAAAAAUGAGAAUUUGUUUUUGCAGUUAAAGGGACUUUCCUAUAUAGAAAAGAGGGAGAGAGCUUUUUAAGGGAAAAGUUUCAGGUCUGUCUCUUCCUGAAUAGGAAAAGUCAGAUAAAAUAAGUAGAACAAAAAGGGAAAACAGAAAAAAGGAAAAGAAUAUACACGUGGACAAAAUUGUUGGUACCCCUCGAUUAAUGAAAGAAAAACCCACAAUAGUAACAAGAAUAACUUUAAUUUGACAAAAGUAAUAAUAAAUAAAAAUUCUAUGAUAACGAACAAAUGAAAGUCAGAUAUUGCUUUUCAAACAUGCUUCAACAGAAUUAUUUAAAAAAAUAAACUCAUGAAAUAGUCCUCCCUCUUGUCACCUCAUUGGCCCCACUGGACCACAGCCAUCAUCCAACCAGGUGAUAGCCCAGUCAAGUGGGGGGCGUGUACUUUUUGUUUACAGUAGCAUAUAAGCAGCUGGUUUGAGCUUCCCAAACCACCUCUGAUCCUUGUCUUGCCAAGAUCAGCAACCUACUUGACCUUCUUGACCUUCUCUGCUCCAGUGACCAGCAAUCUUCUCGACUGAGAUGGCUUCUUCUGCUGCUUCUUCUUCUGCUGCUUCUUGCUUCUGCUGAGUAAGUACAAGUUUGUCUUUAAUUUACUGUAGUAAACUGUAUGGCCACUUUGACUUGGCUACAAGGAAAAUGCUAUGGGAACCAACAAAGCAUGUUAAUUUGAUGUUUAUACUUGUUUUUGGAUUACUUAAUGCUCAACAAUUCUAUGUAAAUUUAGCUUUACAGGGAUAAUAAAUAUGUAAAGAUAGCUGCUGAUUUUUAAGAAUAAAUACAUUGAUAACAGUACAGGUCUAUGGAUGUUACACAGUCAGAGGCUGGGAAAUAUCCACCAUAUGGUUGAUCUCCCAGCUUGAGAGAAUUUUCUGUACAUUUUGACUGAAAAUAUCUCAGCUUCUUUGCUAGCUACAGUAUAUUCACAAAGAUUUUUUUUAAAUGUUUUAAUUUUCUUCUUUAAAAUAUUUCCAUGAGUCAUGUGUUCUAAACCUGUGAAUUGCUCCCAGCGUGUGAAUGGGCUUAAUGAUGCUGUAAUAGGCCCGUUGUUAGACUAUGCUCAUUAAUGCUAAAAUAUCUGUCUUUCUAUUUUUUCUGUUUUUA
ensembl:lncRNA